rnacentral:rRNA from 1 species
GUGAGCAACCUGCCCCUGACUCUGGGAUAAGCGGUGGAAACGCCGUCUAAUACCGGAUACGACCCGCCACCUCAUGGUGGAGGGUGGAAAGUUUUUCGGUCAGGGAUGGGCUCGCGGCCUAUCAGCUUGUUGGUGGGGUAACGGCCUACCAAGGCGAUUACGGGUAGCCGGCCUGAGAGGGCGACCGGCCACACUGGGACUGAGACACGGCCCAGACUCCUGCGGGAGGCAGCAGUGGGGAAUAUUGCGCAAUGGGCGAAAGCCUGACGCAGCGACGCCGCGUGGGGGAUGACGGCCUUCGGGUUGUAAACCUCUUUUACCACCAACGCAGGCUUCCAGUUCUCUGGAGGUUGACGGUAGGUGGGGAAUAAGGACCGGCUAACUACGUGCCAGCAGCCGCGGUAAUACGUAGGGUCCGAGCGUUGUCCGGAAUUAUUGGGCGUAAAGAGCUCGUAGGCGGCGUGUCGCGUCUGCUGUGAAAGACCGGGGCUUAACUCCGGUUCUGCAGUGGAUACGGGCAUGCUAGAGGUAGGUAGGGGAGACUGGAAUUCCUGGUGUAGCGGUGAAAUGCGCAGAUAUCAGGAGGAACACCGGUGGCGAAGGCGGGUCUCUGGGCCUUACCUGACGCUGAGGAGCGAAAGCAUGGGGAGCGAACAGGAUUAGAUACCCUGGUAGUCCAUGCCGUAAACGUUGGGCGCUAGGUGUGGGGACUUUCCACGGUUUCCGCGCCGUAGCUAACGCAUUAAGCGCCCCGCCUGGGGAGUACGGCCGCAAGGCUAAAACUCAAAGGAAUUGACGGGGGCCCGCACAACCGGCGGACCAUGUUGCUUAAUUCGACG